UGGGGAAUUUUGCGCAAUGGACGAAAGUCUGACGCAGCAACGCCGCGUGGAGGAUGAAGGUCUUUGGACUGUAAACUUCUGUUAAUUGGGAAGAAAGAAUACGGUAUAAUACAUCGUAUUUAUGACGUUACCGGUAAAGAAAGUCCCGGCUAACUUCGUGCCAGCAGCCGCGGUAAUACGAAGGGGACAAGCGUUAUUCGGAAUGAUUGGGUGUAAAGGGCGUGUAGGCGGUGCGAUAAGUUUGUUGUUUAAUUCUUCGGCCUAACUGAAGAGAUGCGAUAAAUACUGUUGUGCUAGAGUUUGAAAGAGAAAAGUGGAAUUCUCGGAGUAGCGGUUAAAUGCGUAGAUCUCGAGAGGAACGCCAAUGGCGAAGGCAGCUUUUUGGUUCAAUACUGACGCU
rnacentral:rRNA from 1 species